ensembl:lncRNA
AUAGGAACAUGGGGACAUGUGGACAGCCCUGACCUAAACAGGGACAGUCACCACUAAGAUUGUUACCAUGUGGAAUGUUAGCCAAUUUAAUUAGUUCUUGAAGGGUUUCAAGAGACACUUGGUAAGACUUUCCAAUUUGCUUCUUAUGAUCUCUGGAGGCUAAACCAAGCAUGUCUUCAGAGUAAUCCAGUGUGCAGAUGGCCAUCCAUUACGCCAGACUUAAAGGAGCAUGCCCCAGAUUGGGACAGCAUGACUGAGCAUUCAGCUGAAAGGUCACGCAAGAAUCCAGCAUGUCUCACGGAAAGAUCUCACAGGAGCUGCAGGUAACUCUCCUAAAGCACAGUCUACUCUCAGAUACUGCCAGAAGGAAGAUUCCAUCCAGAAACCGUGCACCUAAGGAUGCUAAUCAACUUGUUUUCCCCCCUCCAGGUGGUUAUGACUCUAAAAAUGUCUGAAAUUGGUUUCAUUAGCCAUUGCAUCCAAGUAUGAGCUAUGCUCAGUUGCUCGCAGAUACUCUGUGAUGGCAGACAUUAGAGACCCCGAAAUGGCAGCUGUUCAAAAUCUGCCUUCACUCAGAUUCAGUUCCAUGGAAAGAGAUCCAUGAGUGAGAUUUGGACACUAUCAGCCGAGAUUGACCCACAAAACCACAGUCGCAAGACUCUUACUCUCAGGAGGACCCAGUGCGGGGGCCUCAUCUGCUGACACUGGGCUCACUGCAGGCGAUGGCAGGAUUCCUAGGGAACUGUGAACCCUGUGGAUGCUGGCAGAACAGAGUGUACGGCUAAUCGUGGGAGCUCCUCCGCACCCUGUUUGAUUCCAAGAGGCGGUGGAAGUGGGACCAAAUGAGGAAACCCGCAUUUGUAGGAAGCUGUCUUCCUCUGCAGAAAACAAGCAAUGUAAAAUAAUAAAUAGAUAGAUAGUUAAAAAGUAGUGAUAACGAAAUUUGAAAGCUAGGUGAAAGAAUGCCAACAUAAACAUAAUUGGAGUCUGAGAAGAAAAAAUCCAUAAUAGUGAAACAGUGGGAAUACUUAACGGACAUUAUUCAAGGGCACCUUCCUGAAACAAACAAAAGAGGUUAAUUUCAUACUGAAAGGGCUCACAACGUACCAACGAGAAUAGACCCCAAACAGUUAGAACCAAGAUUUAUUUUAGGAAACUUACUGAACCUCCCAAAUGAAGAAUCUCUGUCCUGGGCGGCCAAGCAAGCAUAGCCAGCCAUGGAUGAGAGACACAAUUCAGGCUGGCCUCAGGGCUCUGCACAGCAGCGUCACUGCUAGAGGACGGUGUAGCACCACCUAAACAUUCCUCACACAAAGACGGAGUGAUUCGGACGUUUGUCCCCAGCCGCGCUGCUGUUCGGCACAGAGGAGACGCUCGCAGCUGUGGGCCAGCAGCACCUUCCGUGAUGUUUUUCUCAUGAGCUAUUCCUGAAGGACUCACUAAUGAAAAACGUCACACAACCAGGGAAAUAACCAAAUAACAAAGGAAAAGACUGUUGGUGAAAAUUGAAUUUAUUUAGCCACGGAAAUAAAAUUAAAACAAAAACAGGGACUAGGGUGACAGGUUAGAUUGGAGAUGGUCUAAGGGCUGCUGACAAAAUGAAAGCAUAACUAGAAGAAAGUUGGGGGGAGGAAAAAAAGACACGAGUACAUAGUUGUAUAUUUUAGUUGUAGGUCCUUCUAGUUGUGGCACGUGGGACGCCACCUCAGCAUGGCCUGAUGAGCAGUGCCAUGUCUGCACCCAGGAUCCGAACCCGUGAAACCCUGGGCCACCGAAGCGGAGCAUGUGAACUUAACCACUCAGCCACGGGGCUGGCCCCAGAAAUAAACCUUUUCAAGUGCUCAUAGAACAGUCACAAAAUGUGAUACAUUGGAUCAAAAAGAAAACUUCAGUAAAUUCUAAAAAUCAUAAGUACAGCUAUUAUCUUGUUUAAUGUGAUAAAACUGGAAUUUAGUAGCACGCCAAGAAAACAAAAAGUCCUCACCACCCGGACUUCAAGGUGUUCUCAAACUAUUUGCCAGAAAAGAAAAUCAAAUGUAAAUGUCAGAAUAACUAUAAAUAACAACAACAACAAGAGUAAAAACAAUACCAAUUCCGCAUAUCAACUUUUGGGAUACAGCUAAAGCAGGAUUCAGAGAAAAAAAUCACGAAUUUAAGUACAGGGGAGAAAGCACAGACACAUAAAAAGGAAAUGAUGAGGGGGAUGAUGAGCAGGAAUGCCAGGGGCUUCUGACCCGUGUGGCCUCGGGGCCAGCUUCCUGGAAAGGAUUUUGAAAAGAUUUUGCUCUUUGAUUUGAAGAUUAUCUCGGCUCAUCUAGAUUGCUUGGCCUGCAUCUUCAAAUUGGUCUGAUCCCCAAACUAUGUCUCUUCUUGAGUCAGAAUUUCAGAUUGCUCAGAUUUUUCUUAGUCUAGACUCUAGAUUAACUGUGGUUCUUUAUUGUUCAGUACAACAUCCUUGUUUUCCACACAUUUGAUAGAAUGGACAGUGAGAGGGGAAGAGAGAGGCUACGGGCAGGAGACACUGUGUAGUGGAAGCCGGAGAAAAGGUAGGCAGAUUCCAGUUAAUUUUCAGUUUUUCUUUGUUAUGGUAUGGCCCAAAUAAUUCGUAAUGAUUUGAUACGUGAAUAGUUUGCUUGCAUCUUUCUGUAUGUCCACAAUGUUUAUGUCAUAAACACUUAUUAAGCAGGUGACUGGCUUUGGUUGCUUAUGGAUUCUAGGCGGUUAGCUUUUGAUGGAGAGCUUGGAACUACACCCGCCCUGGUGGGAGAAGCCACGCUGUAGACUCCUGAAGAUCCAACAGGCUUGCCUUCACGGCAGAGUUCUGGGGAAAAGGUCUGGUCUCCUCAUUGGUCUCCUGGUUAACCAGAAACUCCUUCAUCUGCUCUUGUACUCUGGCCAGUUAUCGCAAGUCCAUCCAACCCCUCGGUUUGAUCUGAGGACCAUUUACAAUAGAUUCCAUUGAGUGUUCUUGUUACAAAUGCAUGUUACUGGCUCCUGUUGAAUCGUAAAUUCUGAGCCUACAGCUGGGGAAUCUGCAUUUUUAGCAAUAUUUUAUGCACUAUAGUUUAACAAUUGCUCCUCUAGAGGGACAUGUGACCCAGAACACCAUUUGGAAAUGUUGAAGGAAGAUGCUAGUGCAAUUGUUCCCCAAAUUUAUUACUCACUGGAAACAUCAGAAGAAACAUUUGGAAAUGCGGAUCUCAGCUACAUCAGAGCCUCAGUUGUUCAGAAUCUUUGAGAGCAGGGGUAGAACUUUGGAAUCUGGACAAGUCACAGAUGAUUUUUCAGCAGGACCAGCGUUUGGAGCCUUAAUGGAGAAAUCUCUCAAUUCCUGGCAUUAGGUGCCAACUUCACGUUUACCAUAUGCAUGUUUUUCUUUAUUGAAUUAUACUAUCAUUUUCAACCACUUUGCAUUCUUUUACUUUUUAAAAUUGUAUAAUUUAUAUACAGCAAAAUUCAUUCUUUUUGGUGCAUAGUUGUGUGAGUUUUGAGAAACACAUGCAGUCAUGUAACCCCAACCACAAUUAAAAUACAGAAAAUUCCUUUACCCGCCAAAAUUCUCUGGUGCCCUUAUUAUCAUCCCAACCCCAAACCCAGCCCCUGGCAACCACUGACCUAUUGACUUUCCCUGUAAGUUUUGGUGUAGAAUACUUAUGUGAUAUUCCGAAAAUCAUGUAAAUGGGUUUGCAAACGCAGCCUCUGAGCCGG